UCGUACACCAUCAUAACUCAGGUCAGUGUAUAUCUGUACGAGUUUCAGGUCAAUGUGUUGCUCAAUGCUGGUGCCUCACUGAAGAGUGGUAUUUGGCUUUGCUCUCCUCAGAUGUCAGACAAAUACUGUACUGUGGGAUUUCUUUGCUGACCAGACAGUUACUACACGGAACAGAGAAUCAACCAAGGAAUGUGGAGUUUCCAAAUGUAGGUCCUAAAAUUCCUGCCCUGAUGCCUGCCAAUGAAGAUUUAAUUUUUCAAAAAAGGAAACUAAUGUGGGAACCAGAGAGCAGUGGGCAUUGCAUCUUUGUUUGAAGAGUCAGCCUGGCCAGAGGCCAGCAAGGCCGUCAAUACCCUUGUUCAGCUAAAAUAAGGGAUGUUACUUCUGAUUUACACCACUGGCAAGUCGGGUUAUCGGGAUAAUUCUCAAAACCAAAGCAACACUUUGAGAAUAAGGAGAUGGGCGUGAUGACGCAGGAGCAAAGUAAAACCCUUUACAAAGAAGGGGCUUCAGUGAGAGAUCAGAAGCAGGGGGCCAAUGCCCCCUGGAGCCAUUCCACAGCCCCACUGACAUCGUCUUCAUGAAUCACGUGUUUUUCUGGGCCAGAGCUCCCCCCUCAUUCCAGAGGAUCCCAAAGACCUUUACAAACCCUGUGUAUGGUGACCACUUCUCAUCCUUUGGGGGAAAGGGGAAGAAUGCAACAGCAACACUCAACUACCUCAAGGCCCUUUUAGGUGGGGGAGUGUGAAGAAUAAUGUGUCAUUUUGAAACCCCAGUGAUGAUGUCAUUAGGCAAAUAUAAAUGUCUCAGCUGGGAUUAGGUGAGGAUGCUGGGGUCAAUCCCUUAUUCUUGGGGAAAGUGCUGGUGGUCUUAAAUGGGCAAGACUUUCAUGAAAUGCAGGUCCCAUUAACUCCCCUUUACUUCAGUGGGACUAGAAGUUCACACCUUUUUUUAAGUCCCAUCCAAAAGUCAGCAGGCCUGAUUCUCCUCUCACUUAUACCUUCAACAGAGCUACUCCCGCUUCACACUCGUGUGAGUGAGAGGGGAAUGAGGCUCUGCACCUCCAACAAGACAAUUCUCACUACUAGUCCCAUCCACUGAUUUCUCAGUAGCUCACAGAGAAAGUGCCACCCCAUCAGUCACCAGUGCAGCCACCUGGGUUUUAUAUACAGUCUGCUAUGCUCUUUCAACAGAUCUCCUUUCCAAACCACACAAAUGGCGAGUGAUUCCCUGGUGACGAUCCCCGAUUAUAACUCCAAUGCCACCUCUUUUACUGGUUACUGCAAGUCUUCGUUCAGCACCAUCCACCCCAUUUGCAACAUGUACCAAGAGCUGUAAAGUAAACUUUCUCCUAAUGACAGAUGGGGCAGGGAGGGGAAGUAAUUAGUUAUUCCAACAUUUUGUUCUUUUUGGGAAAUGUCAAAUACAUAAAACAGAAGGAAACAAGGUUUCUUCAUAAAGUGCACUCUCCGUCCACUCCAAGAAUUACUCAGCAGAGGGAUGCAGAUCCCAGUUCUGAUUCAAUAUGUCUGCCAACAACCCCCUCCCAAAAGACUGGUGUCUCACGACAUUGGUGAUCUCCGCUAUCAAAAUGGACUUUUCCGCGGCAUUUCUGUGGCUCCUUUUAGCUAAGUCUCUCCCUCUGCUUGGGGUUCGGCUGGGGAAGGGUCAGUGUUGGCUGGUAUAUGUUGUUCUGUCCUCCCCCUUGGCCUGUACGGGACCAAACUGCCCUCAGGCUCACUAGUGAUCUGUGCAUAAUCUCUCCUUGCUUGCUCUCAGUAAGCAGAUCCAACAUUUCCCUGGAGUAGUGUGGGAGGUGUUAUUAGUGAAAGGAGAAAAUGUCAUGAAAUUGGCAAAACCCAAAUCCUUUCUCAAAUGAAACUCUUGUCUAGUUAAUCUGUGGCGCUCUGUCCAGCUCUCCCUCUCCUGCUUCUGAGGAGCCUGACCUUAAGAACAGAGCCUCAUUCGGCUGUGGGUGGAGAUUAAAGGGCCGAAGUUUAAAACUGGUCUUGGUUUCUAUGGCUGUGGGUGCAAGUCUCAGCAUUUGCAAAUCAAUCCCUCUGCCACCUCCUGGCGGCACCUGCAGAUUGGGGUAUGGAAAUGGUGGCAUUUGUGCCAGCUGUAAUAAUGGAGCAGUCAGCUGGCAAAGGGGCCUUUUGGGAUCAGAGGAUUCUGUCCCACCUUGGCAAUGAGAGUGGGGGCAGCGUAGCCCCUACCGCUCACCCAGUCUCCCCCUCCACAAGCACUAUAUCUGGGAUCCAUCCAGUCUCCCUUUCCCCCUCACCAGACAGCCCCACGUUUCCUGCAUGCAAGAUUGUGGGGACCCGGAUCCAUGAAGGCACAAUCAGAAGGGGCACAAAGAGCUUAUUUGCAUGAACUUGCCACCAUGGAGUGGCUGAACAUCUGCUUCACAUCCUUCACUGCACCAGUUUGAGUGUCCUCUGAGUUAGCAGGAGAGAUUCCCCUACAUGACAACAAAGGAGAGCCAGCUGACUGGCCUCAGGAUUUGGUCCAAUACUAGCGAAGCAGCAUAUAGGCUCCUGAGGGCCAACUUCUCCCCGGCUCACUAUCACAACUCCCAUGGAGAUUAAAGGGAAUCACACUGCUGUGCUGGAGGAGAAUCUGGUCCAGAUGAAGGGCUGUGUCAGGAAGAGAGCAAAGGAUAAAGGCAGAGCAAAGAGUGAAGAAAGCACAAUAAUUCUGCUGUGGGAUCAGGAUAGGGUUACCAAUAGCAACUGUGAAAAAACGGGACGGGGGUUGGGAGUAAUAGGUGCCUAUAUAAGAAAAAGUCCCAAAAAACAGGACUGUCCCUUUAAAAACGGGACAUCUGGUCACCCUAGAUCAGGAGCCAACCUUCCCCCCCCCAUCCAGGUUUUUGUAUUGUUCUCUAAAGGCAAACCCCUCUCCAAUACCCCCUGGAGUUCUCCAAGAAGUGCCAGAGAAGUAAUUCCCAUCCGGCAGGUUUAAUGUUCCAGAGCCCACUAGGUUUAAUCUGACUACCUGCUUCAGGUCUGAUUCAGCAGGCUGUGGAAAUGGGUAACUAAUGUUUAUUCCUGGGCCACAGCUUCACCUUUGCUGGUUGUAAUUACUCUCUAGACAUUUCAGUUCAAGCUGCUUAUUAUUAUGAUCUGCACAGAAUGUAAAAACAUCUUUGCAUUUUUUAAAGGAAAAAUAAAUAAUCAUGCAGCAUUUGCUGAAGCAUGGAAGCAGAAUUGAACCAUGGGCCAGAUUCAUCCCUGGUGAAAAGCCAUUGACUUCAGUGAGAAUUGUGGGUGUGCCACGUCCCUGAAAAUUUGGCUACUUAUUUAGGCACCUAAAUCUGGAUUUAGCUGCCUACCUUUAGGGAAUUGGAUUUGAAAAUGUUGGCCUAAAUGAUUUGCCUAAAGGCACAGAGUUAGUCAGUGGUCGAGCUGGGAAUAGACCCUCUAACUCCCAGUCCCAUGCUAAAUGCUACACCAAGCACUCCACCUUCUCAGAAUGAGCCGAAUCUUGUGAAUCUGCAGUAUUGGGUUGGAAAUCUUGUGAGAGGAAGCACCCUCUUGAGAUUGCCAGCCCUUCCAAUUCUAGAGGAGGGAGGAAACAUGUGCAGGUGUGUGCACGCAUGCACAGGUUCCCACUCUAACACGCCCCCCGGUAGUGGAGCAAGGGGUAGAACACAUGAAUGUGUUCAUACUGUGAUGGUGUGUUUACUCAGACUAGGAGCGUAUGCACAUGUGCAUGUCUGUGUGAAUGUACAUGCUGAGUGAUUGUGUGCUCAGGGUGAGAGCUUGUGUGCACUCCCAACCCAUAUUUGACUGCGUGUGUACAUGUGCAUAAGUGUGUGUGAGUGUGUAAGGCAGUCACGGUUCUCUUCCCAUCUGUCAGGGAGGGAGACUACACCCUCUUGCUGCAAUGCUCCUGGAGUGACUCUGUUCAGGGGGGAAUUACCCGACUGUUGAUAGGCCCAAGCCUGCAGUCCAGGCUGGGCAGCAAUUGAGUCUGUGAGCCCCCGGCCCUCAGCCAGAGCGGGGCAGCACACAGUUAAUGGUUCUGGCCCGCAGUCGGGCAGUAUAGCAGUAAGUCGAUAGGCCUGGAGCCCUCAAUCAGAGUGGGACCGUAAUCAGUUAAGGGCUCUGGCCUGCAGUCAGGCAGAGCAACACAGCAGUCUAGCGGGGAUUAGCUCUCUCCAUCUGGCGUCCUAGCUCAGGCAGGUGUCAGACCAAUGCAGGCCUCCUGGCCUAAAGGUGGGGAGGCUGCCACCCCCAAGGGUGGGGCAGCAGGGGGAGGCGGAUGCAGGCCCACCUGCUCCACUGCAUCCCAGCCCAAGGCCCUAACAGUGGCGGAGUGGUCCACCACUGGGUCAGCGGGGAAAUCUGGCCGCAACACACUGGCUGGCCUGCAGUCAGUAACACGGCUGAACCCUAUUCAGCUUCCAUGGGCUCCUUCCUACACUCCCAGUCAGGGGAUACCUGGGUUCUGAGGUUGUUGUCAGUCUCAUUCAGGUAAACAGCUAGUGGCAGCCCCAACAACGCCUCGGUGUCCUUGGUGUCUGGCAGCUCUGGCAGUCCCUCUGGGUCUCUGGCACUGUAGCAGCCUCCAUCAGGUCCGGGCUGCAGCAGUGGGAGAGAGACGUCCUGCUCCUCUGGCAGCUCUGUCCCAACUGAGCUGGAGGGCCGGCCUUUUAUAUUUCCAGUUACUGCCCCGCUCCUCUGCUUCCGGCAGAGCAGCUGUGGGUGUCCCGGUUCUGCCCACCAAGGGGUGGUUGCGGUUCUCUCCCUGUCCGUCAGGGAGGGAGACCAUGCCCCCUCGCUACAGGGUGUAUGUGUUGUUAUUUCCAUAGAGGUUUUGGUUAUUUCCAUCUCUGGUUUUUCAGGGAAAAGCAGUGACUUUCCCUGCUUGAACCAGAAAAUGGAUUUCACUCAAGAUGGGGAAGAUGUUCUUUUACAUUUGCUUUUACAUUUAAGGGCUGGUGGUUUUCAAUGAGUGCUGUAGUCCAAGCUGUCUUUCAGGGUCAGAGGUCCGUUGGCCUUUGCAAUUUGUUGCUUGGCAAUGAGAAGUACUGUAUACAGAAAAGAGUACACUGUUGUUCAGCAACCUCAUUUAAGGACAUUUUCAUAGCUUUAGUACCUUAGUUUUCAAAAUUAUUAAUAAUCACCCAUGAGCUGCCAGUUUAUUAAAAUCUGUUGUGCUGAGUCAAAUCUGGACAUUUUUCCUUUCACAGACCUAAGAGAGUGUGAGGAAUAUCUGUUCUUUUUGGUGUGUGUGCUUUAUUACAAAUAUUUUGGUAAAUCCUUAAAACGUAUUAUGCCACAGGCCCUCAGAUGUAUGUAACAAUAGAUUCCUACAUGGAUUCUUGGUGCUUUAUUUUUAAUUAAAUGCAUUAAAUGUUCAUCUCCCACUGUGGGAUCUAAAAUUAUAAACCAAAUCUUCCUAAGUUCCUCCCCCUCCCCCUUUUUCUUUCCCUCCAAAAGCAGAGGCCACUCAUUACAGAGAAUGGAAACUUUGACAACAUUUCCUGUGAUUUCCUGUUCAGCUCAUCCCUAAAAAGGUACUGUGGAUUAUCUCAGCCAUGUCAUGUAAUAUAUAUCCAUCGUAUUUCACAAAAGCAGAGAGAGCCAAGCAGCGGUGAAAAAAACCUCACAUGACAUGUUGCAGACUCUAAAAAAAAACAGCUUGCCUUUUUCCUGCCAUAAUAAAAAUUAUCUAAAACAAAUGCAAAGCUGUCCAAUUAUGGUUACGUGGUCACAGUCCAAUGGAAUAAUUGUGACCAAUGACCAAGAAAAACCUUUCCAGACACUGAAAUAGUAUUUGAACAGUUGGCAUUUUAAACCCUCUUCCAGGCCCUUUUGUGCAACAUUUAGUAGCCUUAGAAAUAAUGAAUGAGAUAUAUUCCAUUUGCAUCC